rnacentral:tRNA from 1 species
GGGUCGUUAGCUCAGUUGGUAGAGCAGUUGACUCUUAAUCAAUUGGUCGCUGGUUCGAAUCCAGCACGACCCACCA